ACGCUCGACACCUACGGGGCAGCAGUGAGGAAUAUUGGUCAAUGGGCGCUAGCCUGAACCAGCCAAGUAGCGUGAAGGGUGAAGGCUCUAUGGGUCGUAAACUUCUUUUAUAUAAGAAUAAAGUGCAGUAUGUAUACUGUUUUGUAUGUAUUAUAUGAAUAAGGAUCGGCUAACUCCGUGCCAGCAGCCGCGGUAAUCUGAGCGGGCUGGCAAGGC
rnacentral:rRNA from 1 species